rnacentral:SRP_RNA from 2 species
GCCGGGCGCGGUGGCUCACGCCUGUAAUCCCAGCAUUUUGGGAGGCUGAGGCAGGUGGAUCACCUGAGGUCAGGAGUUUGAGACCAGCCUGGCCAACAUGGUGAAACCCCGUCUCUA